CCUUCGGGUGGCAGCAGUGAGGAAUAUUGGUCAAUGGACGCGAGCCUGAACCAGCCAAGUAGCGUGAAGGAUGACUGCCCUACGGGUUGUAAACUUCUUUUAUAUGGGAAUAAAAUGUUCCACGUGUGGGUUUUUGUAUGUACUAUAUGAAUAAGGAUCGGCUAACUCCGUUCCAGCAGCCGCGGUAAUACGGAGGAUCCGAGCGUUAUCCGGAUUUAUUGGGUUUAAAGGGAGCGUAGGUGGUUUGUUAAGUCAGUUGUGAAAGUUUGCGGCUCAACCGUAAAAUUGCAGUUGAAACUGGCAGUCUUGAGUACAGUAGAGGUGGGCGGAAUUCGUGGUGUAGCGGUGAAAUGCUUAGAUAUCACGAAGAACUCCGAUUGCGAAGGCAGUUCACUGGACUGCAACUGACAUUGAGGCUCGAAAGUGUGGGUAUCAAACAGGAUUAGAUACCCGGGUAGUC
rnacentral:rRNA from 1 species